rnacentral:rRNA from 1 species
CCGUUCGUGCUCUAUACUUGGCAUUUCGAGCGGACAGAUGGGAGAUUGCUCCCUGAUGUUAGCGGCGGACGGGUGACAAACACGUGGGUAACCUGCCUGUAAGACUGGGAUAACUCCGGGAAACCGGGGCUAAUACCGGAUGGUUGUUUGAACCGCAUGGUUCAAACAUAAAAGGUGGCUUCGGCUACCACUUACAGAUGGACCCGCGGCGCAUUAGCUAGUUGGUGAGGUAACGGCUCACCAAGGCAACGAUGCGUAGCCGACCUGAGAGGGUGAUCGGCCACACUGGUACUGAGACACGGCCCAUACUCCUACGGUAGGCAGCACUAGGGAAUCUUCCGUAAUGGACAAAAGUCUGACUAAUCAACUCCGCGUGAGUGAUGAAGGUUUUCGGAUCGUAAAGCUCUGUUGUUAGGGAAGAACAAGUACCGUUCGAAUAGGGCGGUACCUUGACGGUACCUAACCAGAAAGCCACGGCUAACUACGUGCCAGCAGCCGCGGUAAUACGUAGGUGGCAAGCGUUGUCCGGAAUUAUUGGGCGUAAAGGGCUCGCAGGCGGUUUCUUAAGUCUGAUGUGAAAGCCCCCGGCUCAACCGGGGAGGGUCAUUGGAAACUGGGGAACUUGAGUGCAGAAGAGGAGAGUGGAAUUCCACGUGUAGCGGUGAAAUGCGUAGAGAUGUGGAGGAACACCAGUGGCGAAGGCGACUCUCUGGUCUGUAACUGACGCUGAGGAGCGAAAGCGUGGGGAGCGAACAGGAUUAGAUACCCUGGUAGUCCACGCCGUAAACGAUGAGUGCUAAGUGUUAGGGGGUUUCCGCCCCUUAGUGCUGCAGCUAACGCAUUAAGCACUCCGCCUGGGGAGUACGGUCGCAAGACUGAAACUCAAAGGAAUUGACGGGGGCCCGCACAAGCGGUGGAGCAUGUGCUUUAAUUCGAAGCAACGCGAAGAACGUUACCAGGUCUUGACAUCCUCUGACAAUCCUAGAGAUAGGACGUCCCCUUCGGGGGCAGAGCCCCACCACCA